AGAUCGCACCGUUUUUACCGCUACCAGGAUGCGCAGCGAGAUCACGGACUAAAUAUAGAUGCAGUUGUGUUUCAUAAAAUAAAAAACUAAUAAACGGGAACUUCACCCGAAGAAAACAAAAAUACUUGGAAUCUUUGUGUGAGCGAGUGAGGAACAGGAUCUUCACCCAGCCGAGUGGCUCAAGAAAAUCUGUCAGCACACAACUAAAAACCCGAUCUCACCUGGAGAAUCGAGAUCAUCUGGAAUACACACCUGGAAGACAGCCCUGCCGAUGCGAUCUGCAUGGACUUCCAAACGAGCGUGGGUCGACCAUCGCCACGUAGGAAGCAAGAAUCACGGACGCCGGGCGAAGCGGCCCCCGCUCCUCUGACUCCACAUCUGGAGGAGAGUUUCACCCCAGGACCUUGGGUCUGCUAACUUGUAGCACUGGCGACGCAGAGUGUUACAGCUCCUACUUCUGAGGGAAGAAGUCAAAUAUGCUGAACACAAAGUUCA
ensembl:lncRNA